UUGUAUUUUUUUCAUGUUUUUGUCAUUUGUUUCAUGUUUUUGUCAUUUUGCUUCUCAUUUUUGUCGCUUUGUGUUUCCUUUUUGUCUCUUGUGUUUUUUGUCUUAUUUUUGUCAUUUUGUGUUUUGCUUUGUUCAUUGUUUUGUGUAUUAUUUUUGUUGUUUUGUUUCACGCUUUUGUCAUUUUUGCUCUCAUUAGUGUCACUUGUCCAUUCUUUUUGUUUUGUUUUGUGUCAUUUGUCUCAUUUUUUGUCAUUUUGUUUCUCGCUUUUGUCAUUUUGUGUCUAAUUUUUGUAAUAUUUUGUCUUGUUUUUGUUGUUUUUUUGUCUUUUUUAAAGUUAAAUGCUAUAUGGUUCCAGAUCGCUGUAACUAAAUGUUGUGUUCCUUUGUAGACACUCUGGGACCUGGAAGUUGUAAUGUGGAAAUGAUCAACUGAGGCUGAAUGUUGUCAAGAACGGACCAAAGCCAAAGUCCUUAACCCACAAGCGGUGCCAGUGGAGCUGCACCGUGGCCGGAAGAUCAGCCUGCGGUCGAACAGGGCAGCUUCCAGGUGUGAUACCUGCAGCUGUGUGCCUGUGGGCAGCACGUCUUUGCAAAAGAGUAUCGCUCUCAGUGAAACUUCGCUAAUAAAUAAAGAUGAAGAAAUAUAAAAAAACAAAAAAGACUCUCAGAAUACACACGUGGACAAAAUUGUUGGUACCCCUCGGUUAAUGACAGAAAAACCCACAAUGGUCACAGAAAUAAUUUGAAUCUGACAAAAGUAAUAAUAAAUAAAAAUUCUAUGAAAAUUAA